GGCCUUGCAUGAGACCAGCUAUUCUAUUGCUUCAAAUUUUCUUCAAGUUGGUUGAAUUAUGCGACUUUUCUCCUGCUUUGACCCAGUAUGUGUUAACUGAAAACAUACCUGUUUUUAGAAGAUGAUUUACAAUUUGAGAUAAGCCGUACCGCUUUAAAGAUGUAGGAACAAAAAUCGGCGUGUCACCAACAGCUAAAUCCUCAUUUCUAGUAGUAAAACGGACUUGAACUUGGCCUGAAGGAGCGCUUUGGGCAUCCAUUCUGUUGUUGGUGGAAGGAGUGUCGAAAAGAUCAAAAUUUCCAGUACCAAAAAAAUGAGGAUAAUGACUUUUGGCUGAAUUGAUCAAGAUGUUACGAGACUGUUUUUUAAGAAUUUUCAAGUUUAAUCAACCCAAUUCGUAUUCAUCGAUAGCGGUCCUAAUUCAGCUUUUUUUUUUGAGUAGAAAAGUAACAGUUGAACAAAAUCUAAGAAUAACAAAAAUAAUAUUAGAAG